AUUUAAUUAGUUUAAAAAAAUUAUAAUAAUUUGUGGAAUUAUAGGUACAAUAAUUGUUUUAAAUC
rnacentral:tRNA from 1 species